GGGGAAUUUUGGACAAUGGGGGCAACCCUGAUCCAGCCAUGCCGCGUGAGUGAAGAAGGCCUUCGGGUUGUAAAGCUCUUUCGGCCGGGAAGAAAUCGCAUGGGUGAAUACCCUGUGUGGAUGACGGUACCGGAACAAGAAGCACCGGCUAACUACGUGCCAGCAGCCGCGGUAAUACGUAGGGUGCGAGCGUUAAUCGGAAUUACUGGGCGUAAAGCGUGCGCAGGCGGUUUGGUAAGACAGGCGUGAAAUCCCCGGGCUUAACCUGGGAACUGCGCUUGUGACUGCCAGGCUAGAGUACGGCAGAGGGGGGUGGAAUUCCACGUGUAGCAGUGAAAUGCGUAGAGAUGUGGAGGAACACCAAUGGCGAAGGCAGCCCCCUGGGUCGAUACUGACGCUCAUGCACGAAAGCGUGGGUAGCAAAC
rnacentral:rRNA from 1 species